rnacentral:tRNA from 2 species
GGAUGGGUGGCAGAGCGGUCGAAUGCGACGGUCUUGAAAACCGCUGAAGGGGCAACUCUUCCGGGGGUUCGAAUCCCUCCCCAUCCGCCA